rnacentral:rRNA from 1 species
UACAUGGGGUGCAAACGUUGCUCGGAAUUAUUGGGCGUAAAGCGCACGUAGGUGGUCUGUUAUGUCAGAUGUGAAAGCCCUCGGCUUAACUGAGGAAGUGCACCUGAAACUGGCAGGCUUGAGUACGAAAGAGGGUCGCGGAAUUCCCGGUGUAGAGGUGAAAUUCGUAGAUAUCGGGAGGAACACCGGUGGCGAAGGCGGCGACUUGGUUCGAUACUGACACUGAGGUGCGAAAGCGUGGGGAGCAAACAGG